GGGGAUGUGGCUCAGUGGUUGGGGAUGUGCUUGCUUGGAAAGCCUCAGGCCCUGGGUUCAAUUCCCAGCACCACCA
rnacentral:tRNA from 1 species